CCCGCAAUGUCUGCCCUCCAGGAGCCCUCCCACAGGUUUGCACAGCCCUGAGGUGCUGCGGUGUUACCUCGGUUCCUCCUAGUGCUUCUCAGUCAGCUUGGAGCCUGGUUGCUGGCUCCUUGUGGGGAUAGCUCUCCAUUUCCCUGCUGAAGGAUCUGCUGGGCUGUGCUGGGAGGCUGCGGAGGAAUUUGGGUGAGGGUGCCGUGUACACCACCAGCAUGGUUCCUGCCGUCAUCCAGGAGAAGGAUUCUGGGCCAUCCCUGACCUGCUGUGCUGUUGCUUGGCGUGUUUGAGGCAGGCUCUGAGGAACAGCGUGCAGAAUUCAUGUCACCAGACUUGUUACUGCUCUAUUGCAGGCCUCCAGCAAGCCACAAGGUGAACUACACAAUGUGAACUACAGCUGUCUUCCUUGUUUUCUCAUCACACCAAUCUCCAGCUACGCAAACCGGGCUGUUUGGAGCUGUGGAUGAGGAUAAAACUUCACAAAACUGGGAUGAAGUCCAUUAGAUAGGCAUUUCUUGCUUGUAGAAUAUGGCUGUAAAGCAGUGAGUCUGCAUUAAUUUGCAGUACUUCACAGUGCAGUACUUUGCUCUCAGACGGUGCGUACCGUUUGGAAGAGUGAUCUUCCUGUCCCUUGUGGUGCCAAAGCGGUGGGAACCCUGAAAUGGAAGAACCAACAGAAAACCACGUGUGAGAGCAGCUCCAGGACCACGCAUUUGACAGACCGGGGUUAAAGGGAAGAAGCCCAGAAGCUCAUCUGCAAAGCGUGAUUAAAGGCAGAGCUCUCUUGCCAAGGUUACAGCAAGUUCAACCUCUUGGCCAUUUUCUGGGGAGAUGUGUUAAGCCAGGCCUUGAGCUGUGCCAGGGCAGCUUGCCAGCUUCUGGGCAGCCUUGCUGGGAAGAGAGCAGAGAAGCCGGGAGCUCUGCAUGUGUCUACAUGGAAGAAGAGUGGUGUAUAGCCUGACAGAUAUUGAUAAGCGAAUGUCAUCCACUGCCCAAGAUCACAGCAAAUAAAAUGUCCCAACAAGAAGUGAAGAAGUCUGGU
rnacentral:lncRNA from 1 species